UACGUAGGGUGCGAGCGUUGUCCGGAAUUAUUGGGCGUAAAGGGCUCGUAGGCGGUUUGUCGCGUCGGGAGUGAAAACCCAGGGCUUAACUCUGGGCUUGCUUUCGAUACGGGCAGACUAGAGGCAUGCAGGGGAGAACGGAAUUCCUGGUGUAGCGGUGAAAUGCGCAGAUAUCGGGAGGAACACCGGUGGCGAAGGCGGUUCUCUGGACAGUUCCUGACGCUGAGGCACGAAGGCCAGGGGAGCAAACGGG
rnacentral:rRNA from 1 species